UACGGAGGGUGCGAGCGUUGUCCGGAAUCACUGGGCGUAAAGGGCGCGUAGGCGGCUCAUGAAGGCUGUGGUGAAAGUCCGGGGCUCAACCUCGGAUCGGCCGUGGCGACUCGUGGGCUGGAGCACUGUAGAGGCGGGUGGAAUUCCGGGUGUAGCGGUGGAAUGCGUAGAGAUCCGGAAGAACACCAGUGGCGAAGGCGGCCCGCUGGGCAGUGGCUGACGCUGAGGCGCGAAAGCGUGGGGAGCGAACAGG
rnacentral:rRNA from 1 species